rnacentral:rRNA from 1 species
CAAUGGAGAGUUUGAUCCUGGCUCAGGAUGAACGCUGGCGGUCUGCUUAACACAUGCAAGUCGAACGGGUCCUUUCGGGGAUUAGUGGCGGACGGGUGAGUAACGCGUGAGAAUCUGCCUUCAGGUUCGGGACAACAGUUGGAAACGGCUGCUAAUACCGGAUGUGCCGAGAGGUGAAAGCUUAAGUGCCUGGAGAUGAGCUCGCGUCUGAUUAGCUAGUAGGAGUGGUAACGGCACCCCUAGGCGACGAUCAGUAGCUGGUCUGAGAGGAUGAUCAGCCACACUGGGACUGAGACACGGCCCAGACUCCUACGGGAGGCAGCAGUGGGGAAUUUUCCGCAAUGGGCGCAAGCCUGACGGAGCAAGACCGCGUGAGGGAAGAAGGUCUGUGGAUUGUAAACCUCUUUUGAUCGGGAAGAAGACAGUGACGGUACCGAUCGAAUCAGCCUCGGCUAACUCCGUGCCAGCAGCCGCGGUAAUACGGAGGAGGCAAGCGUUAUCCGGAAUUAUUGGGCGUAAAGAGUCCGUAGGUGGGUCACCCAGUCAGCUGUUAAAUAGUGAAGCUUAACUUCAUAGAGGCGGCUGAAACUGGUGGUCUAGAGAGUGGUAGGGGUAGAGGGAAUUUCCAGUGUAGCGGUGAAAUGCGUAGAUAUUGGAAAGAACACCGGUGGCGAAAGCGCUCUACUGGGCCAUUACUGACACUGAGGGACGAAAGCUAGGGGAGCGAAAGGGAUUAGAUACCCCUGUAGUCCUAGCCGUAAACGAUGGAUACUAGGCGUUGCCCGUAUCGACCCGGGCAGUGUCGUAGCCAACGCGUUAAGUAUCCCGCCUGGGGAGUACGCUCGCAAGAGUGAAACUCAAGGAAUUGACGGGGCCCGCACAAGCGGUGGAGUAUGUGGUUUAAUCGAUGCAACGCGAAGAACCUUACCAAGACUGACA